AACGUAGGAGGCAAGCGUUAUCCGGAAUUAUUGGGCGUAAAGAGCUCGUAGGCGGUUAGUCGCGUCUGCUGUGAAAACUCGGGGCUUAACUCCGGGCCUGCAGUGGGUACGGGCUGACUAGAGUGCGGUAGGGGAGACUGGAAUUCCUGGUGUAGCGGUGAAAUGCGCAGAUAUCAGGAGGAACACCGGUGGCGAAGGCGGGCCUCUGGGCCGUAACUGACGCUGAGGAGCGAAAGCGUGGGGAGCGAACAGG
rnacentral:rRNA from 1 species